rnacentral:rRNA from 1 species
UACGUAGGGUGCAAGCGUUGUCCGGAAUUAUUGGGCGUAAAGAGCUCGUAGGCGGUCUGUCGCGUCGAAUGUGAAAACCCGGGGCUCAACCCCGGGCCUGCAUUCGAUACGGGCAGACUAGAGUUCGGUAGGGGAGUCUGGAAUUCCUGGUGUAGCGGUGGAAUGCGCAGAUAUCAGGAGGAACACCGGUGGCGAAGGCGGGUCUCUGGGCAGUAACUGACGCUGAGGAGCGAAAGCGUGGGGAGCGAACAGG